CCCCUUCCUCAGGUCCCCAGACAGUGCACACCGUGUGCGUGGUCUCAGAUCAAAUGUUGCCUCCUCCAAGAAGUCCUCCCUGACUACCUAUAAUCCCCAACCCCACUCCACUUCAAGUCUCCCUGUCAUCACCCUAGAAUAAAAAAAAAA